GACGUACGCUGGCGGCGUGCUUAACACAUGCAAGUCGAACGGAAAGGCCCUGCUUUUGUGGGGUGCUCGAGUGGCGAACGGGUGAGUAACACGUGAGUAACCUGCCCUUGACUUUGGGAUAACUUCAGGAAACUGGGGCUAAUACCGGAUAGGAGCUCCUGCUGCAUGGUGGGGGUUGGAAAGUUUCGGCGGUUGGGGAUGGACUCGCGGCUUAUCAGCUUGUUGGUGGGGUAGUGGCUUACCAAGGCUUUGACGGGUAGCCGGCCUGAGAGGGUGACCGGCCACAUUGGGACUGAGAUACGGCCCAGACUCCUACGGGAGGCAGCAGUGGGGAAUAUUGCACAAUGGGCGGAAGCCUGAUGCAGCAACGCCGCGUGCGGGAUGACGGCCUUCGGGUUGUAAACCGCCUUCGCCUGUGACGAAGCGUGAGUGACGGUAAUGGGUAAAGAAGCACCGGCUAACUACGUG
rnacentral:rRNA from 1 species